rnacentral:rRNA from 1 species
UAGGGAAUCUUCGGCAAUGGACGAAAGUCUGACCGAGCAACGCCGCGUGAGUGAAGAAGGUUUUCGGAUCGUAAAACUCUGUUGUUAGAGAAGAACAAGGACGUUAGUAACUGAACGUCCCCUGACGGUAUCUAACCAGAAAGCCACGGCUAACUACGUGCCAGCAGCCGCGGUAAUACGUAGGUGGCAAGCGUUGUCCGGAUUUAUUGGGCGUAAAGCGAGCGCAGGCGGUUUCUUAAGUCUGAUGUGAAAGCCCCCGGCUCAACCGGGGAGGGUCAUUGGAAACUGGGAGACUUGAGUGCAGAAGAGGAGAGUGGAAUUCCAUGUGUAUCGGUGAAAUGCGUAGAUAUAUGGAGGAACACCAGUGGCGAAGGCGGCUAUCUGGUCUGUAACUGACGCUGAGGCUCGAAAGCGUGGGGAGCAAACAGG